rnacentral:rRNA from 1 species
GACGAACGCUGGCGGCGUGCUUAACACAUGCAAGUCGAACGGUGAAGGAGAGCUUGCUCUCCGGAUCAGUGGCGAACGGGUGAGUAACACGUGAGUAACCUGCCCUUGACUCCGGGAUAAGCGUUGGAAACGACGUCUAAUACUGGAUACGACCUCGAAAGGCAUCUUUCGAGGUGGAAAGAACUUCGGUCAAGGAUGGACUCGCGGCCUAUCAGCUAGUUGGUGAGGUAACGGCNCACCAAGGCGACGACGGGUAGCCGGCCUGAGAGGGUGACCGGCCACACUGGGACUGAGACACGGCCCAGACUCCUACGGGAGGCAGCAGUGGGGAAUAUUGCACAAUGGGCGCAAGCCUGAUGCAGCAACGCCGCGUGAGGGACGACGGCCUCGG